AUCUUCCUAGUAUAGACAUUAAAUACAAGUGACUUCCAAUCACCCGACCUUGGUUAGACUCCAAGGGAAGAUA
rnacentral:tRNA from 1 species